rnacentral:rRNA from 1 species
GACGAACGCUGGCGGCGUGCUUAACACAUGCAAGUCGAACGGAAAGGCCCUGCUUUUGUGGGGUGCUCGAGUGGCGAACGGGUGAGUAACACGUGAGUAACCUGCCCUUGACUUUGGGAUAACUUCAGGAAACUGGGGCUAAUACCGGAUAGGAGCUCCUGCUGCAUGGUGGGGGUUGGAAAGUUUCGGCGGUUGGGGAUGGACUCGCGGCUUAUCAGCUUGUUGGUGGGGUAGUGGCUUACCAAGGCUUUGACGGGUAGCCGGCCUGAGAGGGUGACCGGCCACAUAGGGACUGAGGUACGGCCCAGGCUGCUACGGGAGGCAGCGGUGGGGAAUAGUGCACAAUGGGCGGAAGCCUGAUGCAGCAACGCCGCGUGCGAGAUGACGGCUUUCGGGUUGUAAACCGCUUUCGCCUGUGACGAGGCGUGAGUGAGGGUAAUGGGGAAAGAAGCACCGGCUAACUACGU